rnacentral:rRNA from 1 species
GCCAACAAUCUAGCCCCCCCCCCCCAAUUUUAUAGGCCCCUUAUAUUUCUCUUCAUAAAACAAAACAUUUUAUUGAUUUAGUAAAGGCGAUUGAAAAAUUUUUAGGCGCAAUAAAAAGAGUACCGCAAGGGAAAGAUGAAAUAAAAAUGAAAUAAAUUUUAAGCAUAAAAUAGUAGAGAUUAACCCUCGUACCUUUUGCAUCAUGGUUUAACAAGUCUAAUCAAGCACAACGACUUAUAGUUUGACCUCCCGAAACUAAGUGAGCUACUUCAGGGCAGCUUAUUGAGCAAACCCGUCUCUGUUGCAAAAGAGUGGGAAGACCCUCAAGUAGGGGUGACAGACCUAACGAACUUAGUGAUAGCUGGUUAUUCAAGAAAAGGAUUUUAGUCCAGCCUAGAGUCUAUCCAGUCCCGCAAGACAAAGCUUUGACUUUAGAGUAAUUCAAAUAAGGUUCAGCCUAUUUGAAGCAGGAUACAACCUAAACUAAUGGGUAACAUUAUAAUCUCAUAAUUAAGUAGGCCUAAAAGCAGCCACCUUUUAGACAGCGUCAAAGCUCCAUUAUAGUAUUAACCUAAUUUCUCCAAGUAAUCAGAACCCUUUUUCCCUAUUGAAUAAUUCUAUACCCCUAUAGAACAUAUAAUGUUAAAACUAGUAACAAGAAGAAGACCUUCUCUUUAAUGCAAGUGUAGAUCAGAAAGGACACCCCCACUGAUAAUUAACACCUUUGGAAACACAUUAGUAACUUUACAAGAAAACCCUAAUAAACUUUGUGUUAACCUAACACAAGAGCAUUUCAAGAAAGAUUAAAAGAAAAAGAAGGAACUCGGCAAAUAUUAGCCCCGCCUGUUUACCAAAAACAUCGCCUCUUGAUCAAUUAUAAGAGGUCCAGCCUGCCCAGUGACUUUGUUCAACGGCCGCGGUAUCCUAACCGUGCGAAGGUAGCGUAAUCACUUGUCCUUUAAAUGAGGACUUGUAUGAACGGCAUCACGAGGGUUAUACUGUCUCCUUUUUCUAAUCAGUGAAACUAAUCUCCCCGUGAAGAAGCGGGGAUAUAAAUAUAAGACGAGAAGACCCUAUGGAGCUUCAAACUCAAUAACAAAUACUUACCCCAUCUAAACUUCCAGAACAUCAACCCUUACUUUAGUAUUAUGAUUAUUAGUUUUAGGUUGGGGUGACCGCGGAGUAAAAACUAACCUCCACAUUGGAUGGGACCUAUCCCUGAGCCAAGAGUCACGACUCUAAGCACCAUUAGAUUGACAUUAAUUGACCCAAUAUUUUGAUCAACGAACCAAGUUACCCUAGGGAUAACAGCGCAAUCCACUUCAAGAGCUCCUAUCGACAAGUGGGUUUACGACCUCGAUGUUGGAUCAGGGUAUCCCAGUGGUGCAGCCGCUACUAAAGGUUCGUUUGUUCAACGAUUAAAACCCU